AUACGAAGGGGGCUAGCGUUGUUCGGAAUUACUGGGCGUAAAGCGCGCGUAGGCGGACUGAUCAGUUGGGGGUGAAAUCCCAGGGCUUAACCCUGGAACUGCCUCCAAUACUGUCAGUCUCGAGUUCGGGAGAGGUGAGUGGAAUUCCUAGUGUAGAGGUGAAAUUCGUAGAUAUUAGGAAGAACACCAGUGGCGAAGGCGGCUCACUGGCCCGAUACUGACGCUGAGGCGCGAAAGCGUGGGGAGCAAACAGGAUUAGAAACCCUAGUAGUCC
rnacentral:rRNA from 1 species